rnacentral:snoRNA from 1 species
UAGGCAUGAUGAGGAUUGUUUAUUGUCAUCUGAUUCAUGACGAAUUAAUACCUCCUACUCAUUCUGA